rnacentral:rRNA from 1 species
UACGUAGGGUGCAAGCGUUUGUCCGGAAUUAUUGGGCGUAAAGAGCUCGUAGGCGGUUCGUCGCGUCGGCUGUGAAAUCCCGAGGCUCAACCUCGGGUCUGCAGUCGAUACGGGCGGACUGGAGUUCGGCAGGGGAGACUGGAAUUCCUGGUGUAGCGGUGGAAUGCGCAGAUAUCAGGAGGAACACCAAUAGCGAAGGCAGCUCGCUGGGACGUUACUGACACUAAGGCGCGAAAGCGUGGGGAGCGAACAGGA